GGGCGAUUAGCUCAGUGGGAGAGCACUGCCUUCACACGGCAGGGGUCGCAGGUUCGAACCCUGCAUCGCCCACCA
rnacentral:tRNA from 1 species